CCUACGGGUGGCAGCAGUGGGGAAUAUUGCUCAAUGGGCGAAAGCCUGAUCCAGCGACGCCGCGUGAGGGAUGACGUACUUCGGUAUGUAAAGCUCUAUUUGUAGGGAAGAAAAUCACGGCACCUGAGUAUUUUGCCCUGGCUAACUACGUUCCAGCAGCUGCGGUAACACGCCGGGGGCAGGGGUUAUCCGGAUUUACUGGGGGUAAAGGGAGCGUAGACGGGUGGUCAAGUCAGGAGUGAAAGGGUGGGGCUCAACCUACGGAGUGCAAUGGAAACUGUAAGGCUGGAGUACAGGAGAGGUAGGUGGAAUUCGUGGUGUAGCGGUGAAAUGCUUAGAUAUUAGGAAGAACACCGAUGGCGAAGGCAGCUUACUAAACUGUGACUGACGUUGAGGCUCGAAAGUGUGGGGAGCAAACAGGAUUAGAUACCCCGGUAGUC
rnacentral:rRNA from 1 species